AUACGUAGGGCGCGAGCGUUGUCCGGAAUUACUGGGCGUAAAGAGCUCGUAGGUGGUUUGUCGCGUCGUCUGUGAAAUUCCGGGGCUUAACUCCGGGCGUGCGGCGAUACGGGCAUAACUUGAGUACUGUAGGGGAGACUGGAAUUCCUGGUGUAGCGGUGAAAUGCGCAGAUAUCAGGAGGAACACAGGUGGCGAAGGCGGGUCUCUGGGCAGUAACUGACGCUGAGGAGCGAAAGCAUGGGUAGCGAACAGGAUUAGAUACCCUGGUAGUCCAUGCCGUAAACGGUGGGCGCUAGGUGUAGGGGUCUUCCACGACUUCUGUGCCGUAGCUAACGCAUUAAGCGCCCCGCCUGGGGAGUACGGCCGCAAGGCUAAAACUCAAAUGAAUUGACGGGG
rnacentral:rRNA from 1 species